AUCUAAACGUGGACAUCCACUGAGGGUACAUCAUUUUGUGGAUGCGCAUAGAUUUGGCACUCCAAAGAUGAAAUCCAGAAACUACUAAAAAUUUCCAGCUGUGAGUAAUAGUACUAAUAAUAUCUGAGCUGUCCUAUUAGUCCAGUAAUUUGUAGAGACAAGCUUUCAGGAGUUCCUAAUUUUAUCAAGCCUUAAACAUUUUUGGAAAUGCACUAGACUUGAUAAAGGGAGAAACUCCCAAAGGUAUGUCACUGAAAAUGUCUGUUUAUCCUAAUGUAGUAGUUAUUGUGGCAAGAAUGUGUUGAUGCAUUCUGACAAAUGCUGAUAGUCUACAUGUUUGGCAUUGCCAAUUACCGAGAAUGCUUCUCCUUGAGAAUGUAGGUUUUAGUGAUUCGAUGACAAGCAUCCAUUUGGCAGAACAUGGCGAUUGCCCUCUAUGCGUGUUCAAUAUCAUCAUGUUGACCUUAGAGUGGGUGAAAGCACUAAAUUAAAG